GUCGACGAACUCUGGUAUUGAUUGGUGCUUGCAUCAUGAUUUACAUUUGAGUGAGUGGCGAACUGGUGAGUAACACGUGGGAAACCUGCCCAGAAGCGGGGGAUAACACCUGGAAACAGAUGCUAAUACCGCAUAACAACUUGGACCGCAUGGUCCGAGUUUGAAAGAUGGCUUCGGCUAUCACUUUUGGAUGGUCCCGCGGCGUAUUAGCUAGAUGGUGGGGUAACGGCUCACCAUGGCAAUGAUACGUAGCCGACCUGAGAGGGUAAUCGGCCACAUUGGGACUGAGACACGGCCCAAACUCCUACGGGAGGCAGCAGUAGGGAAUCUUCCACAAUGGACGAAAGUCUGAUGGAGCAACGCCGCGUGAGUGAAGAAGGGUUUCGGCUCGUAAAACUCUGUUGUUAAAGAAGAACAUAUCUGAGAGUAACUGUUCAGGUAUUGACGGUAUUUAACCAGAAAGCCACGGCUAACUACGUGCCAGCAGCCGCGGUAAUACGUAGGUGGCAAGCGUUGUCCGGAUUUAUUGGGCGUAAAGCGAGCGCAGGCGGUUUUUUAAGUCUGAUGUGAAAGCCUUCGGCUCAACCGAAGAAGUGCAUCGGAAACUGGGAAACUUGAGUGCAGAAGAGGACAGUGGAACUCCAUGUGUAGCGGUGAAAUGCGUAGAUAUAUGGAAGAACACCAGUGGCGAAGGCGGCUGUCUGGUCUGUAACUGACGCUGAGGCUCGAAAGUAUGGGUAGCAAACAGGAUUAGAUACCCUGGUAGUCCAUACCGUAAACGAUGAAUGCUAAGUGUUGGAGGGUUUCCGCCCUUCAGUGCUGCAGCUAACGCAUUAAGCAUUCCGCCUGGGGAGUACGGCCGCAAGGCUGAAACUCAAAGGAAUUGACGGGGGCCCGCACAAGCGGUGGAGCAUGUGGUUUAAUUCGAAGCUACGCGAAGAACCUUACCAGGUCUUGACAUACUAUGCAAAUCUAAGAGAUUAGACGUUCCCUUCGGGGACAUGGAUACAGGUGGUGCAUGGUUGUCGUCAGCUCGUGUCGUGAGAUGUUGGGUUAAGUCCCGCAACGAGCGCAACCCUUAUUAUCAGUUGCCAGCAUUAAGUUGGGCACUCUGGUGAGACUGCCGGUGACAAACCGGAGGAAGGUGGGGAUGACGUCAAAUCAUCAUGCCCCUUAUGACCUGGGCUACACACGUGCUACAAUGGAUGGUACAACGAGUUGCGAACUCGCGAGAGUAAGCUAAUCUCUUAAAGCCAUUCUCAGUUCGGAUUGUAGGCUGCAACUCGCCUACAUGAAGUCGGAAUCGCUAGUAAUCGCGGAUCAGCAUGCCGCGGUGAAUACGUUCCCGGGCCUUGUACACACCGCCCGUCACACCAUGAGAGUUUGUAACACCCAAAGUCGGUGGGGUAACCUUUUAG
rnacentral:rRNA from 2 species